UACGUAGGGAGCAAGCGUUGUCCGGAAUUAUUGGGCGUAAAGAGCUCGUAGGCGGUCUGUCGCGUCUGCUGUGAAAACUCGGGGCUUAACCCCGGGCCUGCAGUGGGUACGGGCAGACUAGAGUGCGGUAGGGGAGACUGGAAUUCCUGGUGUAGCGGUGAAGUGCGCAGAUAUCAGGAGGAACACCGGUGGCGAAGGCGGAUCUCUGGGCCUUACCUGACGCUCAGGUGCGAAAGCUAGGGGAGCGAACAGG
rnacentral:rRNA from 1 species